CACAUACAAGAGGGCUGAUUGCUUUUAUUUAAUAAUACAUUCUCAAGAGAUCAUAAACCAUAACACAACAUACAUGACUUAUUAAAAUGGCAAAAACUGUCUAUAAUAACCAUUACCUGGUUUUCAAGCAUCCAUACUCCACUGUGACUACUGAAGUAUUUUAAUUCCUGUCUUCAGACAAUGGAAAUAAAUUUCAAAAAGGUGAAGUACAGCAGUAAGCCUGCCACAUUGAGAAGGAUGCAGAAAAUAUACUGCUUUUCUGAGAUUCUGCAAAUCAGUACAUUACCCAAUUUCUGCAUUCUUGACUGAAAAGUCAGAUUGAAAGCUGUACACCAUGAAGAAAAACAGGAUUUUCAUUCUUGCAGCACAAACCAGUUUAAGUUACAUAUACAAUACGUUUAUAUAGUGCAGAACACUACAAAGACAGCAGGAAUUUUAACUACUGGGUUUGCAUCCAGGAUUAGAAGAAUGUAUUGGGUCAAAACACUUUGACAGUGGCUGCUCUCUUGUGAUGCUUUUUAGCACAGGAAAUAAUGGGAACUUUGUAUACAAAGAUGUGAAGUGCCCAGUUGCUUAGAUUAAAUAUAUCAAAGGUUAAAAACGAACCCACCCCAAAAUGACCCAUCCACGUACCUAUUAAGUUGUGAAUGAAAUGCUUUCCACAAUGAAUAGUGAUUAGGGUAAUCAGUAACCUCAUGCAAAACACUAUCCUCUGCUUUUUUAGUUUCUGGACCUCCAUGUUAUCAAAGAUAACAUAUACAAAGAUUGCUUUGGUUUUCUCUUCUCAUUUAUCAAAACUAUAACAGUGUAGAGCUAGCAAUGCUCCUGCCAGUUUCAGUUCUGCUCUUCAAAACUAAUAGGCAGCAAGUGUUGUCACCAGUUUCUCCUAGCUGCUUGGAAAUCUCAAGAGACUAAUGCUCAAAGAGACACUGUGGCCAUUUGAAAAACACCAGGAGACUGUUUCUCUCCUCAUUCUGUUAAGAAAAUAUAAAUUGUUCACAAAGAAGAGACAAGACUUCUUAUCCAGAGGUGAGAAGUGACAAAACUCAAUGAAAACAAGCUACCUGAAAGUCACC
rnacentral:lncRNA from 1 species